GACAGAUUUAGUCUUAAUAUAAUUCCUUGCAAUUAACUGUUCAGAAGUAGAAUAAGAAUCCCAGGGAGGCAAUGAGUUCCUGCUGAGUUGAAGUGUUCAUGGAAAGAAAGCCUGGAGGACACCCUUGUUGGAGAUGCAUCAGAGUGAAUUCUUGUGUAGACCAGCUUGAACCAGAUGCCCCCUAGGGCCUCUCCUAACUGUGCUGCCAAUGAAUAGAAGUUACAGAGAAACACAUUUCUUCUGGAUAUAAGGGGAAACAACAAGGGCAACACUUUUAACAAUUAGAGUUGCCCUAAAGAAUCACAAAUGGGGUGUUUUGGGAGGUAGUGAGGGCCUUGUCAAUGUAAAUAGUCUCCUGGAAGCUAUGUAACCAUCCACUGAGGCUGUUGUAGAGAAAAUUGCUGUUCUGUUUUGGGUUGGAUGAGGUGACCACAGAAGCCUCUUUUAAACUUGAGGUCGCUUUUCUGUGAAAUAUUCAGAGGUUACAUACUUCAAGAAAAUUAUGAUUUCGUUAAUUUGAAUCUCUCUCUCUCUCUCUCUCUCUCUCUCUCUCUCUCUCUCUCUCUCUCUCUCACACACACACACACACACACACACACAUACAAGGUUGUAUUUGAAAAAUUUCCAGUUGAUAUCUGUUAGUUAUUAAUAAUAUUCAAGCAUCAACUUAGGGAACUCUAGGUCCCUACUGCCAUCUAAAAUAGUAGAAGGAAUAUGGAUUCAAGUCAGAAAACAUAGGUUCAGUCUCAUCUGUCAUAAUGACUGCCUGUGUGGUAUUGGACACGUCACUUAAAUAAUCUUUGGCCUCAGAUUGUUCAUCUGUAAAAUGAGGUUGGGGACAACUGAAUAGUCUCUGAAGUCCCUUCCAGCUCUAGAUCUAACAUCCUAUGAAGAAGUAAAAUGUGGGUGUUUUGGAGUCAUCAUUGGACAGGAUUGUCCCCCAGAUUCCAUAUUUGUUCUGAGUCAUGGCAUGACAAAAUCUCAGAAGAAUCAAAAUGACAAGAGACCCAAAACACAACAGAGGAAAGAGUCCUGUCCUAUUCCUUUUCAUAGCUCAAACACUGAGACCCAAAGGACCAACUGA
rnacentral:lncRNA from 1 species